rnacentral:lncRNA from 1 species
UCAUGAGCUUCCCUGAUCAUGUUUUUGAUUUAAUUCCCAAACACACAGUACAUGUGAAAUAUUUGAUUGAUCUAAUGUUUUGAAUUGAGAAAUAUUUCAGGCAAACAAAAAGACACCACACACUUGGAACAAUAGCUUGCAACUCAAGGAAUCAACCAAAGUUGGAGGAUGCACUUGAGAAAGACGAAAAAAUUGUAUAGUGUUAUUAAGUGUCUUAGUAAUAAGUUUAGUAGACUAAUCAAUAUGGUCUCACACUUAAGUCUUUGCCUAUGAAUGAAAAUCAAUCAACCAAAAAGUCAAUUGAUGAAUUGAUUGAUAAAUCGAUUGUCUGACUCAGAACAAGUGUUUUCAUUACAUCAAUCGAUUGAGGAAUCGAUUGGAUAAAUGUUUUUAAGUGAAACCUGAGUUCUGGGAUAAAAUCAAUCGAUUAGACAAUCGACUGGGCAAUCCAUUGAGCAAUCGAUUUAGCAAGUCACAGAAACA